rnacentral:rRNA from 1 species
GAUGAACGCUAGCGGCAGGCUUAACACAUGCAAGUCGAGGGGUAGAGGAAGCUUGCUUCCUUGAGACCGGCGCACGGGUGCGUAACGCGUAUGCAACCUACCUUUUACAGAGGGAUAGCCCAGAGAAAUUUGGAUUAAUACCUCAUAGUAUAUGUUUUUCGCAUGUUAGACAUAUUAAAGUUCCAACGGUAAAAGAUGGGCAUGCGUCCUAUUAGCUAGAUGGUAAGGUAACGGCUUACCAUGGCAACGAUAGGUAGGGGUCCUGAGAGGGAGAUCCCCCACACGGGUACUGAGACACGGACCAGACUCCUACGUGAGGCAGCAGUGAGGAAUAUUGGACAAUGGGCGCAAGCCUGAUCCAGCCAUGCCGCGUGCAGGAAGAAGCAUCUAUGGUGUGUAAACUGCUUUUGUACGGGAAGAAACACUCCUUCGUGAAGGAGCUUGACGGUACCGUAAGAAUAAGGAUCGGCUAACUCCGUGCCAGCAGCCGCCGUAAGAC